GAUGAACGCUGGCGGCGUGCCUAAUACAUGCAAGUAGAACGCUGAAGGAAGGAGCUUGCUCUUUCCGGAUGAGUUGCGAACGGGUGAGUAACGCGUAGGUAACCUGCCUGGUAGCGGGGGAUAACUAUUGGAAACGAUAGCUAAUACCGCAUAACAGUAGAUGUUGCAUGAUAUCUACUUAAAAGGUGCAAUUGCACCACUACCAGAUGGACCUGCGUUGUAUUAGCUAGUUGGGGAGGUAACGGCUCACCAAGGCGACGAUACAUAGCCGACCUGAGAGGGUGAUCGGCCACACUGGGACUGAGACACGGCCCAGACUCCUACGGGAGGCAGCAGUAGGGAAUCUUCGGCAAUGGACGGAAGUCUGACCGAGCAACGCCGCGUGAGUGAAGAAGGUUUUCGGAUCGUAAAGCUCUGUUGUAAGAGAAGAACGAGUGUGAGAGUGGAAAGUUCACACUGUGACGGUAUCUUACCAGAAGGGGACGGCUAACUACGUG
rnacentral:rRNA from 1 species